AAAUUCUCUGUUGUGAGGGGAGUUUUCCAUGAGGAUUAGAAAGACAUCAGCUAGAGAAUUGGUUUUAAAAGUUAUUAUUCUAUUCUGUUGCACAUCAUGGAGUGCUCUUUAGAAAAGUAAUUUACUGUUCUUUUUCACCAGCGAUUGCUCUCAGUUCCCUAAGACAGUGCUUUACAGAACACAUUUCUAUUCUAGUAGGAAAACCCUGGUCAGCCUGGCUAUUGAUUUACUCACUCGAAAUGUACCAGCAGAGCAAACGUGGAAAUUAAGUGCACAAAGGGCAACACAGCCUAUCUACAGAUGAUCAAAAUGGAAAGAAAUCUCAUACUGUAUGGUGACAUUCAACUCCCUGUGUCAUACAGAUGCAAAUGGAUCUACAGCAGUGCAGUUUCCACCAGCCUGCAGCACCUGCUGUACAUAAGAACGUCUCUGAUGCAUAACCCCGCUUUUACCAUGAUUCAGCCAAUCCACUUUCCUUUUACCACGAUCCUUGUUUUGGGAUUAAUAGCGGCUCCAUCGUUCCCCACUCCUCCCUGUUUGUUUAUGAGCACCUUUCCCUGCGUCGUAAAUGGGCAGCGAUGAAACUGGAAGGCUCAAAGGGAUAAGAUCUGAUGCGACAGUGGUCCUAUAGUCCUAUGCGACAGUGGUUUUCAUAAUAAGCUCAAUUAUGAAAACAGUUUUCAUCUGUUGUCUAAUAAUCCAUAGUUGCAUUUCAUACAUUAUAACAUAAACAUAAAGAAUACAGUUUUUGGCAAAUCAAGAGACGUUGUUAGCUACCAUUACUAUGCUUUCUGCAUCAUGAAAAUAUAAAGACAGAUUAUUUCCACUUCU
rnacentral:lncRNA from 1 species